AAGGACUACCAGAAACAAGAGGUUUGUUUUUUAAUUUAUCAAAGGUUCACUCCAGUAUUCGGUAGGCUGAUGGCCUGAGCUGUAGCAGAGAGAGGACCUGGUACUUGAAUGCUGAUGUUCUGGGUUUCACUGAAUUAAUUGAGGAUAUCAGAUGUAUGAGAGACACCAGAAUAUCCUGGACAGCUUCUGUUUUCAAAAGUAACAAAUGGUUUGGUAAUUAUUUUGGGGUACCUUACUGUAUGCCUUGGAAUUCAACAAUAAGGAGCAGAUCUCUGUGUAGUGCCUCAUGUCUGGCUUUUUUCAGUAUCCUGAUGAGUCUUUUCCAGAUUAGGUCAUGGGACUCAUUAGAUGUGCAUGUUUGACACAGAUCCUUUUAUUUCUCCCAAUUUUUAAAAGAACACCAGGAAAUUGUACAGUUACUAAGCCUGAGUUAAUAUUUUUUAUAUUAGGGUGAUGUGGUGCCAGAACGCCUGCUUUUCUGUUGGGCACUAUAACUGCUGUCACUGCUAGUCAAAAUCCAGCUCUGUAAGGAAGAAAAGCAUGCAAAUGGAAGGUUUAAUAUUUGGCAUAUGAGAAGUUCUUUGUUUUCCUUCCCCUUUGCAACCGCUGUCACUAAGUUACACUCAGCAUUGGUGUUCUUUCUUCCUGUAACUGAUAUGCACCCAGCUGGUUGCAUUCAUGUGCUCAGACCUCUUCAGCACUUCAGAUCCCAAGUGCAACAAGAAAUGGGAGGAUGCAGAGCAAAGCUACCAUGAGGACACAGAGAGACCUGUGACUGAGAAGAGGCUUCAUGUCUUUUGCACCACCUUCACUUUCUGGCUGACUUCAGAUCAGACUCGAGACAGCUCAUGACUUGUGAAGUCCACAGGGAAGAGAAUAUUUUAUGUCAUUGUUUGUGGAGGCAAGUGAAUAAAAGCUGUGGGAAGCUGUCCAGAAGAAAUUGGGGAUCUUAAUCAGAUUCUCUGAGUUGUGAAAUGAGGUGGCAACCAGGCUCCAAUAUCUCUGCUCACAAUCUGUGCCACUUCCAGACCUGAUCUUACUCUGCCAGGGCAAUAAAAGACACAUUCUUCCCUUCCCGAUGUCAUCAGAACUGACGCUGCUGCCUCUCUCCUAAUCGCCGUGUCUGCUUUUAGUGAAAGGAAAUAAAAAUAUGGAAUUUGGUAAAAACACCACCUAGAGCACAGCAGAGUUUAUAAUGGUGACAGAUAUGCACAGGCGACCUCCUGUCAGAGAGUGAACAUCUGUCUUUUCUUAACGCUGCUCUAAGAGGAGAUGAUCCACUGACCCAGUCAGCCCAGCCUGUACCAUGCACACUCAGGUGCUGGGAUUGACAGAGAUCCAGGAGAACAAUUAAAUGGUUUACCUUCCUCACAAUAAGUUCUUUCCUGAAACAUGGCUGGAAAGAAAGAAGGAAUCCUAUUGGCAUUCCCAUUGGUGAAAGUCAGAACAUAAAGGUUUGGAUCACAUCCAGUAAGGGAACUAAAUCCAGUCCUGUGUCAAGAUGAUGUCAGGGGAUUGCAGAUGCCAAGCACAGGUAAGAAAGGACUCUGCAUUACCACUACUUUCUUCUCUCUGCUUUCUUUCACACUCCUGUUUGUGAGAAUUCUCCCCUGCAUUCUCCAAAGUCGGUGGGAUUCCCAACAAGUUUUUAGCAAGAACAGGAAUAACAAUGACUGCAGGCACUUCAAUGCACUUGUGCUUUGGCAAGGACACAUGAGUAUUUUCCCACCAUUUUUCUCACCAUUAGCAGCAGCAGCCCUUUUUUUUUUAACCUUUUUUUUUUGUCCCCGUGCUCAUUUUGCUCCAACACUUCUGAAGGGUUACACUGAAGUCACUCUUCAGUGAGUAACCAAAAUAAUCAAGUACUAAUUACAGCUAAAGAACAAGGUCCAAAGUGUGAUUCAUUGUAAUUCUUCAGUUCAUCUAGAGUAAAUAGGACCUUAUCUGUGGGGCUGCCCAGGUUUUUUACCUCAGUGAUAUGUGGAAACUGUAGCUCAGGAUCUUGGAGGAAACUUUGAACCCACUACACCAGUUUGAACAGGUCUGUGGCCUUUGGCUUUUUAAUCUUUGCCUCUGUUCACUGUUAGAUUUGAAUGAUUGCCAAGUACUGUAAAAGCCUGGAAAUCGGAUAUUAAUCUUGAAACUCUUAUUUAGAUUCUUUUCCCAAGGAGGAUGUUGCACAAUAAACAUUGCCUAUCCAUUUGGCCAUGGGAGAGUGUUUUCCACUUUUGGUUCAACUCUUACUCUCAAUGAUAAUGGAAGAAACUCAGCACUUUGCAGAAGUAGACACUGAAGCUACAAAGCAACAUGAAGACGUCAUUACUUAAAUGACUGUAUGGUUAUUUUCAUUAAUAAUGUGGCUUUGCACUCAUGUUAAACCCUUUCAGUAAAAGGUAUCAAAAGGUUUUGCAAAUGAUAAUUCACAAAGCAAAUAAUUUUAUUUUUGUAUCUUCACAGAAUAAUUUGUGCUUGAGAUUGUAAUAUUUAAGUGCCCCUACUGGUCUAACAGAAGAAAUUAACCACUUGUACAUUAUUUUAGUCACUAUUAAAUUUCUAUAAAUCUCUUGAGAAAGUAGGGAUUUGAAUAAUGGUUUCAUUUUAGUUCUGAAUAGAUAUAUAUUAGUACUUCUAUAGUUUAUAUGGAAGUACACUGGAACCAGAAGUACUUCAUAAAAAAUACCUUUUCAUGUUGGAAGUUCAGCUUAUAAUUCACAUAAUGGUUUUGAAAACUCUACCUUGCAUGGCAACCUUUCAGUCUUUUGCCCACAUAAUUCCUGUUGGUUUAGGAACUCCAGCCAGUGCUCAGUUAAUAUGAAACCCAGACAAAUAGACCAAAUUAGUAAUAGAAGUGGUUAUUCUCGUGUAUGUAUGCAAAUAUAAAUAAUACUUUAGGAUUAUGCCUGGUAGUGUUUUUUAGCUUCAGCUGUAGUGUAUGAAGAAAGUGGGUAGUAUAACCAUACCUUGGUUAUUUCACUAGAUUUCCUUUUUGUGCAUUUAUUUGAUAAAAAGUGGUGCUUCCAUUCAUCCAUGGAAGAAGGCAGUAUCCAGGGCUUCUCAAGGACUUCAUAGGCCUUGAACUUUCUCCUACUCCAAGGACAAUAACAUCAAUUUUUCUUUCUGGGAGGUUUUAAGAUCUGAAGUGAGCUGUUGCUGAUUCCAAUACAUUGAAACUGGGACCAAGGCAGACCCUGAUCAUCUCUAUGAGGAGGUCAUGCAGAAAACCAAAGGUAACUCAUAACUUGGGUGAGGACUCCAAAAAGAAAGAGUUCAGCAAAGAAGCCUGUGUAUUUCUUAAAGGUAGUGUCUUCAUCAAGUGCAAAUCAGGAUGUGUGUGGAGGUGUGGACAGGUCAUACUCUGGCCUAACUGCCUGAGCCAGCACAAAGAAUGGAGGGCAUAGCCAAAGCUCUCAAAAGGAGACUGAAACCAUGGGCUGGAUUUGCUAAGAUCUGUCAAACUUUUUCUGCAUUAUUGGGAGCAAAUACGGUCUGGAUUGCCAAGACAGAAUUUUACCAGCCUGCCUUCAAAGCCUGCCGUAGACAGGAGAAAGCUGCCUUAGGACUUCAGUGGCCCAGGAACCAGGCCCUAUGAGCAUCCUUGCCCUGUGUUUUCCACUCCCUGUGGAUUGGUAAUACAGUUCUCAUUGCAGACAGCCAAACUCAAGAGCAACAUCCACAGUUCUGGUUGCAUUGUGCCAGAAAAAAAUGGUUUUGAGGGACCUCAGCUUGAUUCAGCGCUAAUCCAAAAUACUGCACAGUGCUGAAGAAAUGAGGAAGACCCACAUUGCUCCCCGACAGAAGACAGUGACAUGAUAGGAGUGGUGACACAAGGCUCUUACUGUUACAUUCAAUAAUUGAUUCUCCUGGAUGGAUUGUGACUCCCUAAAGGUUGCAAAGAGAGAAGCAGUGAUACAUGUUCUUCAGUUAUACAUAGAUGAAUGUUCAUUCCAUGUGCUGUUUUCGGCUGUGUACUUACACCAGUCCAAAAUCCCAAAGAGGAAAGUAAAAGCUGAGAUUCACAUCAGUAGCAGAGAACAUCAGGUGAUGUUGAUUUAAAGAAAACAUUAAUCAAUCCAGAUUUGCUUGGAACGGGGCCCAGGUUCACUCAACAGGUUGGUGAACCUUAGCAAAUGUUUCUGUGAAUCUGUUCUGUGUUUUGACUUUGUAACAUGAUCUGAAAUCAUCUGAGUUUCAUGUGGUUUUGUUGUGCACGUUUGGAACGCUCGUGGGGCGAAUCCAGGGAAAGACAGAGGUGCUAAAUUUUGCAUGACGUGGUAAGGUAAGAAGUGUUUCACUCUUCCUGACACUCCCUGACACCAAAGUGAACAACAGUUGAUGCUGUCAGCACAGUUUUAAAAGAGGAGACAAUCACUGUCUGUCAGGCUCCAUGUGUCUCCAGGAGUCUUUAUUUUGGAGCCAAUAGGCAGUCUUCAAAUGAUAUCCUGAAAAACCCUAUCAUGAGUUUUGGACUGUUAUAUUCCUUUUCUUGCUUUCUGGUAAAUGUCAAAAGUUUUACUGCAUAGGCAAGUACUGGAGUUGUAAACAGUCUGUUAUGUUUCUUGAUGUAUAUUGGUUUGAAGAAGUUUUAUAGUACUUCUAAAAAUUAGGUUUUUAUGUUGAGUCUGUGGAUGAACAACUUGUGUUUUAACUUUAUUCAGUUUGUAUCUGAAUUCAUAAAAAGGUGUACUCAGCCUCCAUAGCUGGAUAUAAAGUAUUUAAGAUCCAUCUACACCAAUCAGGUAAAAAAUAUGAUGAGGUGACACUUUCUAUUAAUUUUAUUUUUAGUCCAAACUGGAGCCCAGAGCAAUAAAGAUGUGAGACACUCUGCACGAAAAACAAAAUCUAAUUCAUCAGAGGAUGCCAAAUUUUUCAUUCUGUUUCAGGGGAGCCCCCUCUGAGGUCUUUGAGAUUCCAGCCAGCAUUGGAAGUGACAGCCCAGAUAAGGCAGAGGCUCCAGACUGCCCACCAGGAAAAUGGAAAAAUGGAAUGCAGCCUUAUAAAAAAGACUUUUACACCACCAUGGAUCUUGAAUUCUUCACUGCCCAGGAUAUGUCCUUAGCAGAACCAGUCAGGUUUGCUGCAGUUCUCUCGCUUGUUCUCUUGGACGGUACUGACAGUGGAGAAAGGAUUUUUAAUUAAAGGGAAAAAAAGAGUUUUAGUUGAAGAAGCAUGUCAGUGACUCCUGGACGAGUGUCCCCUGAAUCUGCUGCUGUUCAGCAGAAUCCCAGUUUCAAAAUGCAGAGGGUACAAAACUCAUCCACCAUUCUUUGCUGUGUUGUGAACAUGCACAGUCUGUUUCUUCUGGAAGAACUCCAAAUGAAAGGACCACUGAUUCAACCAUGACAUGGCAGCAGAGGAGCCACUGCAUGUGGAACUGAGGAAUCAUUUCCUCCUGUGCUCAGGACAGGGUCUUGCCCAAUUUGUUUUACAUGCUCAACAGUCAUUAUUUGAAUGAACCAAUCAUGGAGAUGGGCUGUUAUUGAUAGAUCUUCCAGGAAACAUGUCAAAGGUAAGUUAAAAUAAAUAAAACAUGAAAUUAACAUGAACAUGGGUUUUUCCUAAUCAGAUACCUGUUUCAGUAGCUCUUGCUCAAAAGACACAAUUUAACCAGGAGAAUGCCAUUGAUAUGAAAGGUUUAUUGAGAAAAGCGAUUCAACAUAUCUGUCAUACACAAGGGAAUACUGAAAAAAAAUUAAAUUAUCCUCUAAAAAACAUUUGUUGAAAGAUGCACAGACCUGAAUCAAGCCAUUUUCUAAGGUUCUUUAAAAUACUAUAGCAAACUUUGUUAUUCUGAAACAGAUCUGAUCUUGAGGAACUGGCAGGUUUUCUGGCACACCGGAACAGGAGGUCAGAGGACUUUAAUGACCCGUAUUUAAUGCCCAUUUAGCAGGUGAGAGAAACAGGAAUUGCUUAAGCUCAUGUGUCCAGUAAUUUUUGGUGUAAUGACUCAAUGCCAAGUCCUGCAUCUUCUGGAAGAAUCUUUCUUGGGCUCUCAUCCUUCUGACUCAGAUGGAAGAGUGCUUUGUGUCUUGCAGAAUGAAGGUCCAGAUCUUGGUCUGGAUGGUUGACAGUGGUGCAGCGUAUGCCAGAAUUUCUCACUGGCUUUAUGAAAAGCAGUAAUGCUCAGUGCCCAUGUGUCUCUACUUGUUUACGCACAAAAUUGGGCUCUUAAAAUUAACGAAUGCUUUUCAAGAAUUUUGUGCAAACAGUUUUCAUCAGUGAGUCAGUAGCAGAGGUAUGAAUAGAGCCCAGGGCUCCUCACUCCUGGCCCUAUGCACCAACCACCAAGACCAUUUACUUUUCUAGCCAGCGCCAGAGUGAAGAUGUGAAAAUACCACAAGCAAAACUUUUUAUUUUUAAUUUUUUUCAACUUUUCCACUCAGUUCUGCAGACUCAGGCAGUUUGGUUAGCUCUCCACAUUGAGCGAGAAGUUAAUAUUGGCUUUGCCGUGGAGUUUUUCACUUCUAGGUGUAUGAAAGAUGAAUCUUUCCUCUUGCUUUCCCCACUGACCUCUGCUUGAAGGUGAGUGGAGAUGUGUGUUGGCUUACUUUUGCUUUGAAGAAACUGGUGCAGAAGGAGAGGGGAGUGAGGAAAAUUUGGCCCAUUGGGGUUCCGGCCCCAAGCUCCCAUUGGCAAAGAGCAAAGAGGGUGGGGAGAAGAGAGAGGCCAGGAAUAGCAAAUGGCCCACAGUCCCCAUCUGUGCUGUUGAUUCCAUCCUCUGGUGAUCCAGCCAGGGGAUCAACAGGCCAGUUGUGCCCAGUCAUUAAGGAGAGGCAUGUCUGUAAUUAAUGGCAAAGGGCCUGAUACAAUAAAAGACAUGUCUGCCUUUUCCACUGCGAAGCCCGCAUAGGGCUGCGAAAGACGCCAAAGAAAAUCAAUGUUAAGCAGCUUGUAUGGAUUUGUGCAGACCUUUACAGUGCCAAAGUCCAGACAUAUUUCUUGUUGAGCUGAGUCCUCAUAUGUUUUAUUUAUAAUUUAAUGCUAAAAUUUAUGAAGGAGGUGCAUGGCAGAGGGAGAACCCAUAACCUUGUCAUUUCGUUUCUUAAAGCAGCAGCUACUAGAUCUAGGAAAGAAUUAUGUCCUCCUCCUUCUAUCUGACUCUCCAGCAUAAAACUUCAUAUGAUAGAAAUUUUAUUCAGUCUGCGUUUGUUUUCAGUGAAUCAGCUGUACAGCUGAGGUGCCUGUUGCGUAUCACACAAGUUUUUAUCAAAAUCACUAACUGCCAAUCGCUUCCUCUAAACUAAAUCACCUCAGCUGUUAUUCAUCAAGCAUGCCAUGUUGCAUUAUGGACUUUCAUAACUCAGACACUUAAGGUAUGAAAGAAAUUAAUUGCCUGUAUUAUUUUCCAUAAAAACAAAUAAACAGCACUAGGUGCCUUUUUAAACUCAAUCGGAAGAUUGAUUUUUAAAUCAAAUUGUAUUUCAUGAGAGUUCAAGCACUCACCACUAGAAGCUAUAAUCUUGGAACUUUAAAUAUAGAUGCUGUAAUUCCAGAAUGUCACAUGCUUUAAACAUUGAAGUAUAAACCAUUGCCAUAACAAAAUGUUGUGGUUUAACCCCAGCUGGCAAAUAAACUUUACACAACUGGUCUCUCCCUCCCCCCACCAGUGGAAUGGGGAAGAGAAUUGGAAGAAUAAAAGUGUGAAAUAUUGUGGGUUGAGAUAAUUUUAAUAGGUAAAACAAAAGCCACACAAGCAAGCAAAGCAAAACAAGGAAUUUAUUCACCACUUCCCAGGGCAAGCAGGUGUCCAACCAUUCCCAAGAAAGCAGGGCUCCAUCAUGUGUGACAGUCUUGGGAAGACAAAUGUCAGAACACAAAACUUACCCCCUUCCUUCUUCUUCCCUCAGUUUUAUAAGCUGGAAUAUGUUUCCAAAUGACUUGGAAUACCCCUUGGGUCAGUUGGGAUCAGCUGUUCCAGCUGUGUCCCCUCACAAUCCCUUGUAGCCCACCCAGUCUUCUCACUGGUGGGGUGAGGAGCAGAAAGGGCCUUGACUCUGUGUAAGUUCUGCUCAGUCGUAACAAAAACAUCCCUGAGUUAUCAACGCUGUUUUCAGCACCAAGCCAAAACACAGCCCAUACCAUCUACUGUGAAGAAAAUAAACUCAACUCUGGGCAAAAGCAGCCCAGAAAAUAAAAGGGGUACACAUGAAAAUACAUUAAACAUGACAGCAACAUUAACAGCCUUGUUAGGAGAGAGGAAGUUUUCUUAACAGAAUACAUUAUUUACUGGUCUCUACUGUAUCAUUCCACCAUGAUGUCAGGAUUGCAUUUUUCCUGGAUGUGUGGAUCUGACAUCAGCCACGUUUGUAUUGCCACGCUCAUCUGAGACACCAAGGUGCAGGAUUUCAGCUGGCAUGAAUCCAACCAGAUCAGCACCGCAGAGCCAGCUGAGCUUAAUUGAACUGUGCUGGAAGCCUAAAAGUGAUGAAGCUGCCAGGGAAACAAGACAGGUUCCUGCAAGGGAGAAGACCCGGUGACAGGAAGAACCUCAAAAUGUUUUGUUCUGCUAAAUUGCCAAGAACAGGUAGGAGUCCAAAACUCAUACAAGACUCAUGGGUAAGAAUGCAAUAGUUGCAAAUAUUUUUGUGUUCAGUUAAAUUACCCGAAUGACCCGGUUCAGCAGAAUGUGAGCUGAGAGUCUCAGGGAAAUGUCUGUCACGUGAGAUAUUUAGUUAAAUUUUGUUAAACAGUUAAAUAUUACACUUUUAUAAGCAAAAAGAACAGAAACUCCACCUAAUCCAAAAGACCUCACAUUUUCUUUAACAAAAAUGUGUUUCCUGUUUUAUCCGUCCCCUUUUUGGGGGGCCUCAAAUAUGUCAGUUGUUUAAAAGAUGUGACUGCCCUUAUAAAUGUAUCGAAGAUAAGCUAGGUUGUAAAGGAUUCAGGUUCAUGAACUGUGUUUAUACAGUCUAUUGUUUAGUACUCAUGAAUAAUUGAUUCUUGUCCUUCCUGCACAAAUAUUCAAUCAGAUACCAUUCAAAUUGAUAGCAGGUGUCUGAUCUAGGAAAAAAUGGCAAUGUUCUUUGACUGGAGAUGUGAUUGUAAUACAAUUCUACUCCAGCCAUGGGGUAAAGAGGAGUGUCACACAUUUCAAAUUGGACCUGUUGAGAGGGAGAGUUUCUAAUUAAAACAGCAUACCGUGUAAUUGUCUGGUAUGUUUUGGGUAAGCAACCAUCCCAAAGAAUGCUUAUUGCAUUUUAUUUUUAUGUGUGUAUGCGUGAAAUGGAGGAUGGAUCAUAAUUUUUAAAAAUUGCUUGUUUCUGGUGAGGGGUUUGGUUAUGCAAGCAAGAAUAGUUCUAUGUAGUCUGUAAUUCCAUAGAAUCCUUACAUACUCAAUAUUAAAAAUCUGACUCUCAUUUCCCCAAGACCAUGUGAUGACCAGGAGACAUAGAAUAAUUGUAUUAUGUGAUAUAUUAUUUGAGAUCCAGUAAGAAGGUGCCUGUUCCUUAAAGCACAGAUUCUUUUCCAAUGAAUUACAACUUUCCACUACUGGUAGCUUCCUGUAAGUCACUUUAUAUACUACAGGAAAAAAAAUGUGCAUAGAAACAGAGCAGGGAGCAGGACCUGCUUUUAUAUCCUUGAACCUUGGAGCACUGCUCAUUUCUUGCUCGGGAGGUUUGUGGAUGUGAGCAAAGUUAUGCCUGAUAUGAAAAGAGGAGCUGCAGAGUGAAUAUAGAUAUAUAACUGGAAUUUUGCUCCCAGGCACAUGAAAAUAAGUCUGA